UACGUAGGGGGCGAGCGUUGUCCGGAAUCAUUGGGCGUAAAGCGCGUGUAGGCGGCCCGGUAAGUCCGCUGUGAAAGUCCAGGGCUCAACCCUGGGAUGCCGGUGGAUACUGUCGGGCUCGAGUCCGGAAGAGGCGAGUGGAAUUCCUGGUGUAGCGGUGAAAUGCGCAGAUAUCAGGAGGAACACCGGUGGCGAAGGCGGGUCUCUGGGCCGAUGACUGACGCUGAGGAGCGAAAGCGUGGGGAGCGAACAGG
rnacentral:rRNA from 1 species